rnacentral:tRNA from 1 species
UCCGAUAUAGUGUAACGGCUAUCACAUCACGCUUUCACCGUGGAGACCG